rnacentral:rRNA from 1 species
UACGAAGGGGGCGAGCGUUGUUCGGAAUUACUGGGCGUAAAGGGCGCGUAGGCGGGCGACCCAAGUCAGAUGUGAAAGUCCUGGGCUUAACCUGGGGGACUGCAUUUGAUACUGGGUUGCUUGAAUUCGGGAGAGGAUAGCGGAAUUCCCAGUGUAGAGGUGAAAUUCGUAGAUAUUGGGAAGAACACCCGUGGCGAAGGCGGCUCUCUGGGACGGUACUGGACGCUGAGACGCGAAAGCGUGGGGAGCGAACAGG